GGGGUUGUGGCUCAGUGGCAGAGUGCUUGCCUUGCACAUGUGAGGCACUGGGUUCAAUUCUCAGCACCACUU
rnacentral:tRNA from 1 species